AGAGUUUGAUCAUGGCUCWKAACGAACGCUGGCGGMGUGCUUAAUACAUGCAAGUCGAACGAGAAAAUCCGGCUUCGGUUGGAUGAGUAAAGUGGCGAACGGGUGAGUAACACGUGGAUAAUCUGCCCGUACAUCCGGGAUAKUCCUUCKAAAGGAGGUCUAAUACCGGGUAACAUUCCCGGGCGGMAUCGCCUGGGAAUCAUAGGCGGGGCAACCUGUCGUGUACGGAUGAGUCCGCGCCUCAUUAKCUUGUUGGSGGGGUAACGGCCCACCAAGGCGACGAUGAKUAGCCGACCUGAGAGGGUGAUCGGCCACACUGGGACUGASAUACGGCCCAGACUCCUACGGGAGGCAGCAGUAGGGAAUAUUGCGCAAUGGACGAAAGKCUGACSCARCAACGCCGCGUGGGUGAUGAAGUUUUUCGGAAUGUAAAACCCUGUCGGUGGGGAAGAAACGCACGAGCAGUAACUGGYCCGUGCCUGACGGUACCCACAAAGGAAGYCGCGGCUAACWCCGUGCCAGCAGCCGCGGUAAUACGGGGGGGACGAGCGUUGUUCGGAUUUACUGGGCGUAAAGGGCGCGUAGGCGGACCUUCAAGUCGGAUGUGAAACCCCCGGGCUUAACUCGGGGCCUGCAUUUGAUA
rnacentral:rRNA from 1 species